GGCUGCAACUCGCCUACACGAAGCUGGAAUCGCUAGUAAUCGCGGAUCAGCACGCCGCGGUGAAUACGUUCCCGGGCCUUGUACACACCGCCCGUCACACCAUGAGAGUCUGUAACACCCAAAGCCGGUGGGAUAACCUUUAUAGGAGUCAGCCGUCUAAGGUAGGACAGAUGAUUAGGGUGAAGUCGUAACAAGGUACC
rnacentral:rRNA from 1 species